AACAUUUUUUUUUCAAAAAAAAAAUUUUUUUUAAACAAUCGUUACUUUUAAUUUUAUACAAUGAAACCCGUCUUUUACCGACUGCGCCAGUUUGGUUGUGUACUAAUUUUGUUAAUGAAAACACUUUUUUUUUGUAUUUUAAAGUUUAAGUUUAAGUAUUUUAUUUUAUUAUUUAACAAGAAACAAGUUUACAAAUAGACGAAUAAUAGUCGACUGACUAAAGACUUAAAACUAACAUACAAACAGGUACGAUAAAACAUAAUAAGUGUUUACGAUAUCACGAAUGAUCUCUCCAGCAUUAUCUUCUUUAGAAGAUGAUAUUGGAGAGAGACAUACGUUCUUUGGAUACACUUCUAGCGUAUGUGGUUCAUACGAUAGAAGUGCUUGAAAACAUAAUCUCUUAUAAUGGAAGGGGAAGAACACAAAUACUCUCCUUCUUAUUCCAUUAUAUAACAAUAUAUAAAAAAAAAUUUAAUUUUGCUCACAAGUGGCUUCUUCAAUAAAUGUUAAUUUCAUAAAUUAUACUAAAAAAAAAGUAAUAGGUUGUUUAAUUUGUUAACUUGUAAUUUUUUUUUUCUAUUCCUGCCAUAAAAACACAAAAAAAGAUAUUAAAACUCCAAAAACUUAGCUGCAAGUAUUUAUGAUAAACUUUUGUAUGGGCUCGACACACUGUGCGCCAUCCAGAACGAGUGAAACGAAUCUUAUGUUUAGUAGAGACUACAAUAACUGAGUGUGAUCCACAUUUCACAGACUUGUAGUGUCUGCACCCUCCGACCACUUGUUGAUGUGUUCGCUCUAAAUCCUAGACAAAAACAACAUUCAACAAUUCUAUGUCGAGUAUAAAAAUGACGUUAGAGACUCCUUGCUCGCCACACUAUUGGAUGCAGUCCGUUCGAGUGGCAAUCAAGAUGUGCAAGUUCGUAUUACAAAUACAUUGCGAGGAAAGCAUUUUGUUCCCCUCAACAGUUGUGUGCAUGAAGUGACUCUCCUUCGUUUAGUGAUAAAGAAUUUCCAAAAUUCCUGACGUAGAUGUAAGAUUUAAGAGAAUUUCAACGCCAACAUUCCUCGCCAAGUCUGAAGUAAAGUGUCACACAAGACGUUCAUGUUUUGAUAUACAAUUCGACUGAAUAAAUCUAAAUCUCUAACCAAA